GGGUUAUAUUUAAAAAGGGGUUUUUUAAAAUUUUUGAAAAAUGUUACAGAAUGUUUAGACAACGGUUAGGAGGUUCAAAGGUUACAAGGUUCCCCUUUUGGGGAGCCACGGAGUAAUCCGCCCAAUAAUUAUUUACCCCAUUAAUAAUCCCUAUUCCAAAACCCCAACCUGUUUUUUCUUUUUUCCCUUUUAGUUUUCCUUUUUUCCCCUUCCCUCCCACCAUUUUUUUAAUAUUUAGGACUAUAGGGGUUGGGGGUUGGGGCGGGGGGCUUUUGUUUUCCUCCCCGUCUGGGCGGGCGGGGCGCCCCCCCCCCUCCUUAAAUAAAAAAAAGGGGGGGGGGGGGUUUUUUGGGGGGGGGGGGGGAGCCCCCCCCCCCCGGAGGAACUUCUCCCAAAAAAGUGGGUUUUGCUUUUUUUCACCCCGGUUUUUUUCCCGGCCCCUUCAAGGGUACCCGGAAGGACCCCCCCCGGAAUGAAACUUGGGGGCCCCCCGGGCCGGGGAGGGCCCCCGGGGGCCCCCCCCAAACCCACCCAAGGCCGGGGCUGGGGUGAAAAUGACGCUAGAAACAGGCAUGCCCCGCCGAAAUAGCCGGCGGGCGCCAAUGGCGUUACAAAGAUUGGAUGAUUCCAGUGAAUUUCUGCAAUUCACCAUUAACUUAUCGCAUUUCGCUGCUUCUUUCAUCGAUGCCAGAACCCAAGAGAUCCGUUGUUGAAAGUUUUGAUUAUUUGUCUUUCAGGCUCAGAGAUACUGGAAAAAAUAAGAGUUUUGAACCUCCGGCGGGCGUGCCCGCCGAAGCAACGACAGAGGUUAUGUUCACAGGGUUGGAGUUUUUCAACUCAGUAAUGAUCCUCUGAACCUGCGGAGGGAUCAUUACUGAGUUGAAAAACUCCAACCCCUGUGAACAUAACCUCUGUCGUUGCUUCGGCGGGCACGCCCGCCGGAGGUUCAAAACUCUUAUUUUUUCCAGUAUCUCUGAGCCUGAAAGACAAAUAAUCAAAACUUUCAACAACGGAUCUCUUGGUUCUGGCAUCGAUGAAGAACGCAGCGAAAUGCGAUAAGUAAUGUGAAUUGCAGAAUUCAGUGAAUCAUCGAAUCUUUGAACGCACAUUGCGCCCGCCGGUAUUCCGGCGGGCAUGCCUGUUCGAGCGUCAUUUCAACCCUCAAGCCUCGGCUUGGUGUUGGGGCGCCCGGGCCCUCCGCGGCCCGGGGCCCCCAAGUUCAUCGGCGGGCUCGUCGGUACACUGAGCGCAGUAAAACGCGGUAAAACGCGAACCUCGUUCGGAUCGUCCCGGCGUGCUCCAGCCGCUAAACCCCCAAUUUUUAGAGGUGACCUCGGAUCAUGUAGAAGCAGCAGCCUCUUUU
rnacentral:misc_RNA from 1 species